GGCUUCAAAGCAAUCCUCCCACCUCGGCAUCCCAGAGUACUAGGAUUAUAUAAGUGUAGGUCACUGUGUCUGGCCCAUUCACUGAAUUUCUAACAACUCUACUUACUGAGCUCCACCAUCCAGACCAUAAGAAGGUGGAAAAUUUUGACCAGUGCUAUGCUAUGGAUCCUUAAGGCUCUUUUCAGGAAGUGUAAGAUGUGUUCUACAAUGUCUUGUAAAUGUCCUCAGUGUGAUGAAGUCACGACUGCCCGCACUAAUGACUCAGCAAUUCAAAAUGUGAGCAGCCUGCCUAUGGAGAUGCUGUUUGGCAGAGGCGUCAAAAUUUAGAAGAUUGAGUUAUUGGAUAACUGCAGAACCGAGAAACUUGUGGAAACACACAUUUCCUGAGACUUCCAGCUUUCUAGUCUGGAAUCCGAACAGGGAAGAACCUGAACAGGACCUAUGAAAUAAAGUCUUAAGAAACAAGCAAAAGAAAAAGUGCACCAAGAUGUAUCUACUGCCAUCUCGGGGCCUAUUUGUAGCCCUUGUGCUCCUAGCUCUGAAAAGACAAUGCCCAGCUAAGACAAACGUGAGCUUCCACGGCAGGGCACUAUUUCUCACUCCUUGAAGGCCCACAGCCUGCUCCCUAUGUGUGCUCCAGACAGCCAAAGGCACGUUCUCCCCUCUCCCCUGCUGGUGAGCUCUCCCUCUAGCAGUCUGGAGGACCCACAGUUCACUCCUACCUCUUCCCCCCCCUUUAGAAAUUAAGGCAAAUCCAUUUACUCUCCGUGCCUGGUACAUAGGCACUGUACGUCCACAUAGGAACCACAGCAAUGAGAGGAAAGUACCUCUUGUCUACCAAGGUUGAUGGGUGCAUAUCAUUAACAGCAAUAAAAAACUGUCCUCUGUUAAGAAACUGAACAAUUAUUCUAAAGCCUCAGCCUCUUUGUUUUUUCCAGCACCCAGAUGACAAAUAGAACAAAGUUAAUCCAAAGAAAGCAUUAUAAGAAAGCAUCUAAGUUCAAGAAAAUACAACAUAGUUACCUCCAUAUUAUAUUUUUCAUUAAUAUGUUGAAAAAAAUCUGUCUUCCAUCAUACUUAUAUAAGUUAAGUCCUUGUGUCAUUGAGAGUGUGCUUGGCUAAAGAUCCUCCUGAGGGAUGAGAAAUGGAUAGGUAGGUAAAGACAAAGUCUGUCUUCAAAGCAAAUUUACAGGACACAAACCCAUAAUCUUGUAAAUUCAUAUAGUGCCCCGUAAAACGAUGGCAGAUAGAAAGACAAUAAAACUAUAAGAGGAGAGAAAAUGAAAGAUGAAAAUAACUAUAUUUCAUAAACAAUUAUGUUUCAAGCCAGAUUUUUCUUUGGCAAAAUUAUUUUAAUGUGAUCAACAACUCUACUUUCAAAGUUCUUACUCUUUCCCACAUGUUAUUA